UACGGGGGGGGCAAGCGUUAAUCGGAAUUACUGGGCGUAAAGCGUGCGUAGGCGGUUGGCUAAGUCAGAUGUGAAAGCCCUGGGCUCAACCUGGGAAUGGCAUUUGAAACUGGCGAGCUAGAGUGUGAUAGAGGAUGGCGGAAUUCCCGGUGUAGCGGUGAAAUGCGUAGAGAUCGGGAGGAACAUCCGUGGCGAAGGCGGCCAUCUGGAUCAACACUGACGCUGAGGCACGAAAGCGUGGGGAGCAAACAGG
rnacentral:rRNA from 1 species